CACGUAGGGCGCGAGCGUUGUCCGGAAUUAUUGGGCGUAAAGAGCUCGUAGGCGGCCUGUUGCGUCCGCUGUGAAAGCCCGGGGCUUAACCCCGGGUCUGCAGUGGAUACGGGCAGGCUAGAGGUAGGUAGGGGAGAAUGGAAUUCCCGGUGUAGCGGUGAAAUGCGCAGAUAUCGGGAGGAACACCGGUGGCGAAGGCGGUUCUCUGGGCCUUACCCGACGCUGAGGAGCGAAAGCGUGGGGAGCGAACAGG
rnacentral:rRNA from 1 species